rnacentral:rRNA from 1 species
AACGACGCUGGCGGCGUGCUUAACACAUGCAAGUCGAACGCGAAAGGGACUUCGGUCCUGAGUAAAGUGGCGCACGGGUGAGUAACGCGUAGAUAACCUGUCUUCAUGUCUGGAAUAAUACGCCGAAAGGGGUACUAAUACCGGAUAUUCUUGCUUUUCAUAAGUUAUGCAAGCAAAGGUGGCCUCUGCAUAUGCUACUGCAUGAAGAGGGGUCUGCGUACCAUUAGCUAGUAGGUGGGUAAUGGCCUACCUAGGCGACGAUGGUUAGCGGGUCUGAGAGGAUGAUCCGCCACACUGGCACUGGAACACGGGCCAGACUCCUACGGGAGGCAGCAGUGAGGAAUAUUGCGCAAUGGGGAAACCCUGACGCAGCGACGCCGCGUGAGUGAGGAAAGGCCUUCGGGUCGUAAAGCUCUGUCAAGAGGAAAGAAGUGUACAAUGGCUAAUACCUGUUGUAUUUGACGGUACCUCUAAAGGAAGCACCGGCUAACUCCGUGCCAGCAGCAGC